UACAGGGAAUGCAAACGUUGCUCGGAAUCAUUGAACGUAAAGCGCACGUAGACGGUCUGUUAUGUCGGAUGUGAAAACCCUCGGCUCAACUGAGGAAGUGCAUCCGAAACUGGCAGGCUAGAGUACUAAAGAGGAUCGCGGAAUUCCCGGUGUAGAGGUGAAAUUCGUAGAUAUCGGGAGGAACACCGAUGGCGAAGGCGGCGACCUGGGCCGACACUGACGCUGUAGAGCGAAAGCGUGGGGAGCGAACAGG
rnacentral:rRNA from 1 species